rnacentral:rRNA from 1 species
GAUGAACGCUGGCGGCGUGCUUAACACAUGCAAGUCGAACGGAAAGGCUCCUGCUUGCAGGGGUACUCGAGUGGCGAACGGGUGAGUAACACGUGGGUGAUCUGCCCUGCACUUCGGGAUAAGCUUGGGAAACUGGGUCUAAUACCGGAUAGGACCGCAUUUUGGAUGGUGUGGUGGAAAGUUUUUUCGGUGUGGGAUGAGCUCGCGGCCUAUCAGCUUGUUGGUGGGGUAAUGGCCUACCAAGGCGUCGACGGGUAGCCGGCCUGAGAGGGUGUACGGCCACAUUGGGACUGAGGGACGGCCCAGAGUCCAACGGGAGGCAGCAGUGGGGAGUAUUGCACAAUGAGCGCAAGCCUGAUGCAGCGACGCCGCGUGGGGGAUGACGGCCUUCGGGUUGUAAACUCCUUUCGCUAGGGACGAAGAGUAAUUGACGGUACCUAGAGAAGAAGCACCGGCUAACUACGUG